rnacentral:misc_RNA from 1 species
GAUGAAGAACGUAGUGAAAUGCGAUAAGUAAUGCGAAUUGCAGAAUUCAGUGAAUCAUCGAAUCUUUGAACGCACAUUGCGCCCGCUAGUAUUCUGGCGGGCAUGCCUGUCUGAGCGUCAUUUCAACCCUCGCCCCCGGCUUUUGCUGGGAGCGGUGUUGGGGAUCGGCCGCCCGUCACUGGGAGGCCGGCCCCGAAAUAGAGUGGCGACCACGCCGUGUGCUCCUCUGCGUAGUAGUAAAUCACCUCGCAGGCGGACAGCGGUGCGGCCUGCCGUAAAACCCCCAACUCUUUCUGGUUGACCUCAGAUCAGGUAGGAAUACCCGCUGAACUUAAGCAUAUCAAUAAGCGGAGG